UGGUGAAACGGUAUACACGCAUGCUUCAGGAGCAUGUAAGCGAAAGCUUGUGUGGGUUCAAGUCCCACCUUCGGCA
rnacentral:tRNA from 1 species